rnacentral:rRNA from 1 species
UGGGGAAUAUUGGACAAUGGGCGAAAGCCUGAUGGAGCAACGCCGCGUGUGUGAUGAAGGUCUUCGGAUCGUAAAGCACUUCCGACCGGGACGAAAACCUGGUGGCUAACAUCCACCAGACUGACGGUACCGGGAGAAGAAGCACCGGCUAACUCUGUGCCAGCAGCCGCGGUAAUACAGAGGGUGCGAGCGUUAAUCGGAAUUACUGGGCGUAAAGCGCACGUAGGUGGCGACGUAUGUCGGGUGUGAAAUCCCCGGGCUCAACCUGGGAACCGCAUUCGAAACUGCGUUGCUGGAGUACGGAAGAGGAAGGCGGAAUUCCCGGCGUAGCGGUGAAAUGCGUAGAUAUCGGGAGGAACAUCAGUGGCGAAGGCGGCCUUCUGGUCCAGUACUGACACUCAAGUGCGAAAGCGUGGGGAGCAAA